rnacentral:rRNA from 1 species
ACAUGCAAGUCGAACGGUAAGGCCCUUCAGGGUACACGAGUGGCGAACGGGUGAGUAACACGUGGGUGAUCUGCCCUGCACUUUGGGAUAAGCCUGGGAAACUGGGUCUAAUACCGAAUACCACCCUGCUGGUCGCAUGGCCUGGUGGGGGAAAGCUUUUGCGGUGUGGGAUGGGCCCGCGGCCUAUCAGCUUGUUGGUGGGGUGAUGGCCUACCAAGGCGACGACGGGUAGCCGGCCUGAGAGGGUGUCCGGCCACACUGGGACUGAGAUACGGCCCAGACUCC